GGCAACAUGAAAGGGCUAUUGAGCACUCUGUUGGGACUUUUGUCAGUCCAGAUAUGCUGUGUAAGAGGAAAUCAGGUUGAGCAGAGUCCUCCAGCCUUGCUUCUCCAGGAGGGAGAGAACUCCACGCUGCAGUGCAACUUUUCUAGCACAGUAACCAUUGUGCAGUGGUUUCAGCAACAUCCAAGAGGAGGCCUCAUCGGCCUGUUUUACCUUGCUUCAGGAACAAAGCACAAUGGGAGACUCGUAGCCACGAUAGACACCAGGGAACGCAGCAGCUUGCUGUACAUCUCCUCUGCCCAGAAUACAGACUCUGCCACUUACUUCUGUGCUGUGAGAGACACAGUACUCCCUAGGCACCUGCAGCCUCUACACAAACCCUCAGCCUGGUGUAGCCCCUUUAAACAGUUUCAUGUCUCUUUCCUACAUUGGCAGUUUCACCCACAGUUGCUCCAUGGGUUUGGUCUUUUCUUCCCUUCUCAGUCUAUACCUCAUCUUUCACUACAAAUAACUUACAUGGAAUGAGCCAAGUGGCUGAUACAAGAUGGUAUCAAAAUAAAUUAACUGCAGUGUGUUGGAUCCCCACAGGACAAAAUGUAAGAGCAAUAAAAAGAAAAAAAAAGUUGGGAUAAAGAUGUUAUUGACAGCAGUGCAGCUUAGUUUAGCAUUUCCAGAACAUUCGGGCAUUUUCACUCUAAGUCAGCUUAAGUCUUCACAGGCCUAAGCUCCGCAGAUGAGGCACCACCCACCUUCAACCACAGGUAACACCUCCAGCCCCCAACUGUAUAUAAAGGGUCCUCCAAGGAGCCAGAUGACGCCAUCUUCUCCCUUCCCUCAAGACAACUUAGCCUUGUUUGCUCUAUUGGCAAUAAAUCUUUUCCUCUAUGUGACUUUUGUCCCAGUGGUCUUUUGGAUACUUUCUGCUUGGGUUAUUUUUCCUUUCAUUCACCACAUGCCCCAGGGGCAAAGGCCAUUCUCCAUUUCUUGCAGCCUAAAAUAUCAGUGAAGCAGAAAUAGGACAAUGUCUGAGGAGAGGGUCCACAUGUAUGUUGCAUUCAUCUAAUUCCCAUUCAUGCUUUUGUGUCUUGAAUGGUCUGCUUACACUAUAGCGGGUUUCUUGCUCAAUUGAAAUGGAUGUGUCUUCUCCUGUUGGGUGGAGAUGUGUCAGAGUUACUUGCUUUAUAGUGUUGCUGUUAAUCUACUAAGUUGUCCUAGCUUUUACUGAAGGCAAAGUAUUAAACUCCCAAAUAUUAUUGUUGAAAUCUAUUUCCCCCUGUAUUUCUGAAAGCUAUAAGUAUUAUAUGUUUCUAAUGUAUUGACUUUUUAUUAUUAAAAGUAGUCCUUAACUUUGGAUUGCUUAUUUGGUUAAAAUUUAUUUUAUCAAAUAAUGUUAUGGCAAUUCCAUCUUUCAAGCUGUAUGUGCACGAUACAUUUUCCAUCC